GUAGGGAAUCUUCCACAAUGGACGAAAGUCUGAUGGAGCAACGCCGCGUGAACGAUGAAGGCUUUCGGGUCGUAAAGUUCUGUUGUAAGGGAAGAACAAGUGCCGCAGGCAAUGGCGGCACCUUGACGGUACCUUGCGAGAAAGCCACGGCUAACUACGUGCCAGCAGCCGCGGUAAUACGUAGGUGGCAAGCGUUGUCCGGAAUUAUUGGGCGUAAAGCGCGCGCAGGCGGCCUCUUAAGUCUGUUGUGAAAGCCCCCGGCUCAACCGGGGAGGGCCAUUGGAAACUGGGAGGCUUGAGUAUAGGAGAGAAGAGUGGAAUUCCACGUGUAGCGGUGAAAUGCGUAGAGAUGUGGAGGAACACCAGUGGCGAAGGCGACUCUUUGGCCUAUAACUGACGCUGAGGCGCGAAAGCGUGGGGAGCAAACAGGAUUAGAAACCCCUGUAGUCC
rnacentral:rRNA from 1 species